rnacentral:rRNA from 1 species
UACGUAGGGGCCAAGCGUUGUCCGGAUUUAUUGGGCGUAAAGAGCUCGUAGGCGGUUCGGCAAGUCAACGGUGAAAUCUCCACGCUCAACGUGGAGGGGUCCGUUGAGACUGCUGUGACUCGAGUCCGGUAGGGGAGUGUGGAAUUCCCGGUGUAGCGGUGAAAUGCGCAGAGAUCGGGAGGAACACCCGUAGCGAAGGCGGCACU